AGUAGGGGCGUGCCGUGAGAUUAACACAUGCAAGAAGAGGAGGUAUGGGAAGCUUGCUUCCUUGAGACCGGCGCACGGGUGCGUAACGCGUAUGCAACCUACCUUUUACAGAGGGAUAGCCCAGAGAAAUUUGGAUUAAUACCUCAUGGUAUAUAUCAUUCGCAUGUUUGAUAUAUUAAAGUUCCAACGGUAAAAGAUGGGCAUGCGUCCUAUUAGCUAGAUGGUAAGGUAACGGCUUACCAUGGCAACGAUAGGUAGGGGUCCUGAGAGGGAGAUCCCCCACACUGGUACUGAGACACGGACCAGACUCCUACGGGAGGCAGCAGUGAGGAAUAUUGGACAAUGGGCGCAAGCCUGAUCCAGCCAUGCCGCGUGCAGGAAGAAGCAUCUAUGGUGUGUAAACUGCUUUUGUACGGGAAGAAACACUCCUUCGUGAAGGAGCUUGACGGUACCGUAAGAAUAAGGAUCGGCUAACUCCGUGCCAGCAGCCGCGGUAAUACGGAGGAUCCAAGCGUUAUCCGGAAUCAUUGGGUUUAAAGGGUCCGUAGGCGGUUUGGUAAGUCAGUGGUGAAAGCCCGCAGCUCAACUGUGGAACGGCCAUUGAUACUGCCAGACUUGAAUUACAAGGAAGUAACUAGAAUAUGUAGUGUAGCGGUGAAAUGCUUAGAUAUUACAUGGAAUACCAAUUGCGAAGGCAGGUUACUACUUGUGGAUUGACGCUGAUGGACGAAAGUGUGGGGAGCGAACAGGAUUAGAUACCCUGGUAGUCCACGCCGUAAACGAUGGAUACUAGCUGUUGGGGGCAACUUCAGUGGCUAAGCGAAAGUGAUAAGUAUCCCACCUGGGGAGUACGUUCGCAAGAAUGAAACUCAAAUGAAUUGACGGAAGGGCGAAUU
rnacentral:rRNA from 1 species